GCCCUGGUGAUUACAGUUGCGCAAUGGGGAACAAAUAUUUAAUUCCAUCGGACUGCGGGCUCUGAGCGCCUGAGUGUGUUCGGAAACCAACGCCCUCGAUUUCCUGCCGAGCACAGGGAGAGCCCCCGGAGGAACGAACAAGACACAUUCCUCCUCUCACCUUCAGCCUCCAUCCAGCACAGGCGUUUAAUAAAUAUUAUACAGCAGAUGUUCAGGCAUUUUUAGAGACGAGGAGCACACGUGGGAUGAGGCUGAGCAGCCCAAUCCAGGCCUUCACUUCACUUCGCAGCUGACGGAAUAGAAGGGGCCGGAUUAACCCAGCCCUCGCGUCAAACUCCAUCACAUCCAGAGCUCUGCCUCUCAGCCCGAGCUGCGCCUCCUCAUUCAGGCUUGUUCUUGUGGAACGGAGUAAGAGUUAUUUAAAAGCUGCUAUGUGUGCAGCAAAGAAUUUCAUUGGAACUGAGAGGGGUCCCAGGUCAAGCCUCACAGCAAACACCCCUCCUCCAUCCCACAAGGAGGAAGCAGAGGAGGAAAAGAUUGGAUUCUUGUAAACAGUCUCCUCUCCCACCCCAAGGAGCUCAGGCUGGGGCAAAACUCAUUCAAUCACCGAGGACUUUUGGAUACGCAAACCCCUGGUCAUUCAGCAGGGACACUUCCUGGGACCUUUGUUAAUCCCCAGAUUGACCUCUGCCCAUGAGUGUAUUUUUCCCAUAAGAUUAAAUCACAGAUGUGGGGAAA